rnacentral:tRNA from 1 species
GCCACCUUAGCUCAGUUGGUAGAGCAGUCGAUUCGUAAUCGACAGGUCUGCGGUUCAAGUCCGCAAGGUGGCUCCA